rnacentral:ncRNA from 1 species
AUGUCCUGUGAAAGGAGAGGUUAGCUCUCCCUGACAGAGAUGGAAGCCUCACAACACACACGGAGCUAAGGCACUGGCACCGAGGUGGUGAGAUCUAAUCACGGUCUUUA